rnacentral:rRNA from 1 species
GACGAACGCUGGCGGCGUGCUUAAUACAUGCAAGUCGAGCGAGGUUACUGUUUCGGAUCCCUUCGGGGUGAAGAAGCUUUAACCUAGCGGCGGACGGGUGAGUAACGCGUGGGUAACCUACCCCAAAGUCCGGGAUAACAGCGGGAAACCGCUGCUAAUACCGGAUGCCUUUACCUUGGGGCAUCUUGAGGUAAAGAAAGGUAACGCUUUGGGAUGGGCCCGCGUCCCAUUAGCUAGUUGGUGAGGUAACGGCUCACCAAGGCGACGAUGGGUAGCCGGCCUGAGAGGGUGGACGGCCACACUGGGACUGAGACACGGCCCAGACUCCUACGGGAGGCAGCAGUAGGGAAUAUUGCGCAAUGGACGGAAGUCUGACGCAGCGACGCCGCGUGAGCGAUGAAGGUCUUCGGAUCGUAAAGCUCUGUCCUUGGGGAGGAAGGCGAAAGCUUGACGGUACCCAAGAAGAAAGCCCCGGUAACUACGUG